rnacentral:rRNA from 1 species
UACAGAGGGCUCAAGCGUUGUUCGGAUUCAUUGGGCGUAAAGGGUGCGUAGGCGGCGCGGUAAGUCGGGGGUGAAAUCUCGGAGCUUAACUCCGAAACUGCAUUCGAUACUGCCGUGCUUGAGGACUGGAGAGGAGACUGGAAUUUACGGUGCAGCGGUGAAAUGCGUAGAUAUCGUAAGGAAGACCAGUGGCGAAGGCGGGUCUCUGGACAGUUCCUGACGCUGAGACGCGAAAGCGUGGGGAGCAAACAGG